UGGGGGGAUAUUGCACAAUGGGGGGAAACCCUGAUGCAGCGACGCCGCGUGGAGGAAGAAGGUUUUCGGAUUGUAAACUCCUGUCGUUAGGGACGAUAAUGACGGUACCUAACAAGAAAGCACCGGCUAACUACGUGCCAGCAGCCGCGGUAAAACGUAGGGUGCAAGCGUUGUCCGGAAUUACUGGGUGUAAAGGGAGCGCAGGCGGACCGGCAAGUUGGAAGUGAAAACUAUGGGCUCAACCCAUAAAUUGCUUUCAAAACUGCUGGCCUUGAGUAGUGCAGAGGUAGGUGGAAUUCCCGGUGUAGCGGUGGAAUGCGUAGAUAUUAGGAAGAACACCAGUGGCGAAGGCGGCUUACUGGACAGUAACUGACGUUCAGGCUCGAAAGCGUGGGGAGCAAACAGGAUUAGAACCCUGGUAGU
rnacentral:rRNA from 1 species